CUGUGAACUGCGCAUGUCAGAGAGCGAGAUGCCGCCAUGUUGAGUCAUCCUGAAAGCAGGAAACAGCCUCCGUGAACGUGAUCCUAGUGCUAAAAAGUGGAUUUACCAACAGAAUCUCAUCAGCCUUCCCUUCAGCUCUGGGAGGUAGACACUGCUAUUUGUGACUACUCACAGGUAGUGCGUACCGAGGCUCAGUGGGGUGACUAAUUCUAAGGACAGAACCAGCACCAUGCAGCUGCUCUACGUCUAGCAACUGUAACCUGCCUGCUGAGGACCAAAGGAGCGCUUCAUGAAAGCACCUCUUUUAGGGCUGUCUUGGUACCUCGAAAGCAAAGUUGAAGAAUUGUCCGAGCGACCCCAAGUCCGUGGCCCAUGGGUGUCCCUGCAGCAGGACUCCUGCGUCACACUUUGAAUCGAUACAGGCGGAGGACUCGCCUUGGCGUUGAAUUUUCCUGGAUUGGAUCAGAUCUAUUUCUGCCCAAGUUGUGCAGAUCUUACCAGAUAUUAAGAAGAUAAAAAGAAAUAGAGAAAGAAUGUUCAGCAAAGACAGGACUCCUGCCUUCUCAAUGUGAAUUGUUCCUUUGUUCUUCUCUGUGUUCCUGUCCAGCCACACGGGAAACUCUUAAGAGACAAAGAAAAACAAAACAGACCCUCUGCUGUUUGAAGGUGGUGCCGCUGAGUCUUCUGUCCCUGGUACAUCAGACUAUCGGAGGAUGCUCUGGGGUCCUGCAAUACUGCGGAGGAGAGAUAAGUGAUGUGGCUGACAUCACACCCCAUGUUUGGGCUGCCUGUGCCUGUGCACUUGUCUCAGACCAUCAGCACCAGAGAAGGACACUCUGUAACUAUGGGAAGUCAAGAUGAAAACAAGAGACCCUUUCGUGAUCAUGUCUGCGUACGGAAGAAAUUGAUUGAAGUCAACCCAAGACAGCUUAAGAAGAAGAAAGAAAAAAUAUUUCUUUGAAGGUGAAGGUGUUGGCAGGAGACCCUACUUUUUUGUCAUGUGCUCCUGGCCCCAAGAUGGCUAGAAAGCUCUGAGGAUGGCAGCCAUGUUCUUCUGGCUAGGACGUGGAGCACAGAAAAGUGGACCAGGUUGUCAGAUCAGUGAAAUGAUUUUGGAAUGGCAAGAAUGGGACUGGAAGAAGGACCCAGAAUGUUCAAGAGUUGAACCAUAUCGUGACUAAAACUGUGGAGCAGAAUGUUGACCCAAGGGUACCUCAAAGACACAGAGAAGAAGGAAAAUGCUCUGAAGGCCCUGCAGAGUACCAGCUGUUUUAUUCAUCUGUAACCCCAUGGCAAGCACAGUACCUGGUAGAUUAUGAAUGUUUUAGCCAACGUUUGCUGAAUGAAUGAGAGACCACAUGGAUAAGCACUUAAGCAGUUGUUUUUCUCAGGCAUUUCACCACAAUAAGAACUGACACCAUCUCACACAGGAAAAAGAACAUAGUCGACAGUUGCCUAUGAAACCCAAUCAGGUGGACGACUGCAUAGCAGAGCUUCAUGCCCAGUGUUGGCAGAGUGAUUUCAUCACGCCUCCUUGGCCUAGCACAGCCCGACUUCCAUGGUCCUCAUUACAGCAGCCAAGCUCAGGCAAGCCACCAACACCGUCCCUGUCGAAAGGACAUUGUCAUUGCCAGCGCGCAUUCUGCUUCUCCUUUCUCCAGCGUUUUCCACGUUGGGACUCUCCCUCCUUCUGCACGGCAUUUCGUGGUCUGGAUCUCUCUGCAGUAGUCAUUCAGAGUGUUAAGAGUAUUGCGCAUGGAGGCCGAGAGUCCGAGAGCAGCUCCUCUCUCAUGGAGUGCACCGUCCUGGGAAAGUGGCUUCACCAAUCUAGGCCUUAUUUUUUUAGUUAUGAGGGGA